AUUGAACGCUAGCGGGAUGCCUUACACAUGCAAGUCGAACGGAGUGGCGAACGGGUGAGUAAUGUAACGGAACGUGCCCAGUAGCGGGGGAUAACUACGCGAACGCGUAGCUAAUACCGCAAACUAUUGGAACGGCCGAUAUCGGUUUAGCUAGUUGGUGUGGUAACGGCUCACCCAGGCGACGAUCCCUAGCUGGUUUGAGAGGACGACCAGCCACACUGGGACUGAGACACGGCCCAGACUCCUACGGGAGGCAGCAGUGGGGAAUUUUGGACAAUGAGGGAAACCCUGAUCCAGCCAUCCCGCGUGUGCGAUGAAGGCCUUCGGGUUGUAAAGCACUUUUGGCAGGAAGGCGGUACCUGCAGAAGAAGCACCGGCUAACUACGUGCCAGCAGCCGCGGUAAUUC
rnacentral:rRNA from 1 species